CGCAAAGAGAUGACGAUGGAGGAAUUGUUCGACUUAGCAUUGAAGAAGACAACCGGGCUUCAGAAAAGAAUAAUGUCUGCAACAUGGAAGCAAAGGCUAACAUGGUGGAAGACUCGAGGUCUAAGAACAAGAAAAGGAAGCGUUCUGGCUCAUCUAUGGACAAAGAAAAAGUCGACAAUGCAAAACGGUUCAAAGGCAACUGUUAUACUUGCGGGAAGCCGGGAUAUCGGGCUAAAGACUGUCGAAGCAAAAAGAAGGAUACACAGAAAAAGAAACCGCUCCAAGCCAAUAUAACCGAAGUGGAUAAAAUUUCUACGGAUGUUGGAGACAUCAACCUAUCUGCUGUUGUUUCUGAAGUUAAUUUGGUAUCUAAUGCAAAGGAUUGGUGGUUGGACACAGGAGCCACUCGUCACAUCUGUGCAGAUAAGGGUUUAUUCGCUGAAUAUAAGACCUUGAAUCAUAAUGAGUGUCUUUACAUGGGAAAUUCUACAACAUCCAAUAUUGAAGGGAUUGGAAAGGUUAUUCUGAAAUUCACAUCAGGGAAGGAACUGACGCUUAAUGAAGUUGUACAUGUCCCAGAUAUCAGAAAGAAUUUGAUUUCAGGAGCUAUUCUUAGUAAGAAAGGAUUUAAAAUGGUGUUUGAAUCUGAUAGAUUUGUACUUACUAAGGGGGACAUAUAUGUUGGGAAGGGUUAUUUACUUGAUGGUCUAUUUAAGGCCAAUACUAUUGUAGUGGAGAAAAAAUCCACAUAUUUGUAUCCACAAGUUAUCAAUAAAACUAAUACUUCUGUUUACUUGCUUGAAUCUUCGAAUUUAUGGCAUAGCAGAUUAGGACAUGUAAAUCGUGCUUUCUUAAGAAAACUUGUAGGUUUAU
rnacentral:lncRNA from 1 species